UACGUAGGGAGCGAGCGUUGUCCGGAAUUACUGGGCGUAAAGAGCUCGUAGGUGGUUUGUCACGUCGUCUGUGAAAUUCCGGGGCUUAACCUCGGGCGUGCAGGCGAUACGGGCAAUACUUGAGUGCUGCAGGGGAGACUGGAAUUCCUGGUGUAGCGGUGAAAUGCGCAGAUAUCAGGAGGAACACCAAUGGCGAAGGCAGGUCUCUGGGCAGUUACUGACGCUGAGGAGCGAAAGCAUGGGUAGCGAACAGGAUUA
rnacentral:rRNA from 1 species